UACGAAGGGGGCGAGCGUUGUUCGGAUUUACUGGGCGUAAAGGGCGCGCAGGCGGCGGAUCAAGUCAGGCGUGAAAGCCCCGGGCUUAACCUGGGAGGUGCGUCUGGGACUGAUUUGCUAGAGAUCGGGAGAGGAGAGUGGAAUUCCCAGUGUAGAGGUGAAAUUCGUAGAUAUUGGGAAGAACACCGAUGGCGAAGGCAGCCAUCUGGACCGACACUGACGCUGAGGCGCGAAAGCGUGGGGAGCAAACAGG
rnacentral:rRNA from 1 species